rnacentral:tRNA from 1 species
GGAGAGGUGGCUCAGCGGUUAAGGGCAUGGACUGCUUUUCCAGAGGUCCUGGGUUCGAUUCCCAGUCACCA